AGGCACUUUAGGAAGCAAUCCUAAAAAUUCUUCCUCCAGUCCUGGCAAUACAGUAACGUCUUUCACUACCACAGCUGUCCACAGCCUCAGGAAUUCUUCAGUGAAGUCUAGGACAAACUACAAAACUAAGUACAACUGAAAAAAUGUCAUUUCAUUUUUACCUGGACUUCUCAGAAGAAAAGCACCAAACAAAAGCAGCAGGACUGGCAAAGAGAAAUACGGAACAAGAAAGAAGCCCCCCAUUUUUUCAGAAGUGACAAGUUAUUGCAGUUAAAGCUGCCUUGUGAAACCCAAAGACAAACAUUUGCCAAGUAACUGCUGUUUACAAAGAAAGAAUGAGAUUAAUUUUGUAUUCGGACUUCAGCACAGAAUAAACCAGUAAGGUUGCCACUG